rnacentral:rRNA from 1 species
CAGUCGCCGCGGUAAUACGGAGGGUGCAAGCGUUAAUCGGAAUUACUGGGCGUAAAGCGCACGCAGGCGGUUUGUUAAGUCAGAUGUGAAAUCUCCGAGCUUAACUUGGGAACUGCAUUUGAAACUGGCAAGCUAGAGUCUUGUAGAGGGGGGUAGAAUUCCAGGUGUAGCGGUGAAAUGCGUAGAGAUCUGGAGGAAUACCGGUGGCGAAGGCUGCCCCCUGGACAAAGACUGACGCUCAGGUGCGAAAGCGUGGGGAGCAAACAGGAUUAGAUACCCCUGUAGUCCCUGUCUCUUAUAC